GUGCUCGCUGCGCAGCACAUAUCCUAAAAUUGGAACGAUACUGCGCAAGGGUGACGCGCAUGUUUCUGAAACGUUCCAUUUGUUU
rnacentral:snRNA from 1 species